CUCUGUCAGCGAGGAGCAGAGGGUGAGAGGGCAUAGUCAGGGCUCUGCUGCCAGGAUACCCCCACCCACCCAGUACAUUCGGACAAGGACUUUGUUGCAGGGCCUGGGACAGCCCCAGGCGAGCUGAGAAGGAUCCGACCUGGGGUUGAGUGGCCUGCCCAGCUGCUGCCACACUCGAGGUCUGUGGGUUAUUCUAGGUCCCACAGGGCAUGAAAUCACAGAGCAGAAGUUCUUCCUAUCUGUGGCCAGGCUGGAGUGCAAUGGUGCCAUCUCAGCUCACUGUAACCUCUGACUCCCUGGUUCAAGCGAUUCUCCUGCCUCAGCCUCCUGAGUAUCACAGGCCCCUGACUCCUGACUGUGCAAGCAAGAGCAUCUGGCAAGAAUAUCAUGAUAUUUUUUAGCACUUCUUGUACUUAUUUUCAUAAUUUUUUUUUUGAGACAGAGUCUCACUCUGUCACCCUGGCUUGAGUGCAGUGGCACCAUCUCAGCUCAACCUGCAACCU
rnacentral:lncRNA from 1 species